rnacentral:lncRNA from 1 species
GUUUAGACGAGUUGUAUAUAUAUAUAUAUGACCAGUCUAAACGUUUACAGACACCAUACAUGUGUCCGAAGCGCCUUUCUGGUUUUACCUUAAUUAGGAAAAUUCAAAACAAAUAAUUUUAGAAAAGUCAAGGACGCAUAAGUACCGAAACACUUGAAGGGUUAAUUGACCAAAGGAAACUAAGCAUAAAAAGUCAAAUUCAUCUAAUUUAAAUCUCUGUUUUUAGAUGUUUUUCUAUCGAGCACGAGGCAUUUAAAAUUAACCAUAUUAGGAGGAAACUCUAUGACUAAUCUUGAAGAAAUCCUAACAAAUUGCAAGAAUGACAUACGACAACAAAAAAUAUACAGCAAUACACAAAAAUAAUAUACCGCAUCUAAAAUUACGUAAUGUUGACCUGAAUACGUCGAUACUUUUAAAUAUAAUGAUGAGGAGAAGAGGAGACAACUAUCUAUCAUUAAGCAAAGUACGAGGAUGUAAUCGUCUUCCGGUAUAGUUGGGGAAAAAAACCUACAAAUCUAAUGGUCGAUCAUGCAAAUCCCACAAAUACAAUCAUGAUUGGUAAUGAUGGAUUGACCAUUGCGGCC